GUGGUGGCGCGGGUUUUUACCGUUUCCUCCGCUUAAGUCCGGCCGAAGCAGAACGGUGUCAGGCAGGACUACACCAC
rnacentral:sRNA from 12 species